rnacentral:misc_RNA from 1 species
UACGGAGGAUGCAAGCGUUAUCCGGAUUCAUUGGGUUUAAAGGGUGCGUAGGCGGAAUAAUAAGUCAGUGGUGAAAUCCUGCAGCUUAACUGUAGAACUGCCAUUGAUACUGCUAUUCUUGAGUAUAGUUGAGGUAGGCGGAAUGUGUAAUGUAGCGGUGAAAUGCUUAGAUAUUACACAGAACACCAAUUGCGUAGGCAGCUUGCUAAACUAUCACUGACGCUGAGGCACGAAAGCGUGGGGAGCAAACAGG